GCGGCAGUAGCUUAGUGGUAGAGCUCCCCUUCCCCUUCGCAUGAGGGGAGACCUGGGUUCGAUUCCCGGCUACUUCC
rnacentral:tRNA from 1 species